UUAGUUAGUUGGCGGAGUAACAGCCCACCAAGACGAUGAUCAGUAGCUGGUCUGAGAGGACGGACAGCCACACUGGAACUGAGACACGGUCCAGACUCCUACGGGAGGCAGCAGUGAGGAAUUUUGCUCAAUGGGCGCAAGCCUGAAGCAGCGACGCCGCGUGAAUGAUGAAGUCUUUCGGGAUGUAAAGUUCUGUCGAUGGGGACAAUAAUGAUGGUACCCAUAGAGGAAGCACCGGCAAACUAUGUGCCAGCAGCCGCGGUAAUACAUAGGGUGCAAGCGUUAUCCGGAUUUACUGGGCGUAAAGCGUAUGUAGGUGGUAUUUUAAGUCAAACUUCAAAUCUCGGGGCUCAACCUCGAUUCGGGUUUGAUACUGGAAUACUUGAGUUUGGGAGAGGAAAGCGGAACUAACAGUGUAGCGGUGAAAUGCGUAGAUAUUGUUAGGAACACCCGUGGCGAAGGCGGCUUUCUGGACCAACACUGACACUGAGAUACGAAAGCGUGGGGAGCAAACAGGAUUAGAUACCCUGGUAGUCCACGCUGUAAACAAUGUACAUUAGGUAUAGGGGGUAUCGACUCCCUCUGUGCCGAAGCUAACGCGUUAAAUGUACCGCCUGGGGAGUACGGUCGCAAGAUUAAAACUCAAAGGAAUUGACGGGGGCCCGCACAAGCAGUGGAUCAUGUGGUUUAAUUCGACGAUACCCGAAAAACCUUACCAGAACUUGACAUCUAGGGAAUCCCAUAGAAGUAUGGGAGUGCUCGCAAGAGAGCCCUAAGACAGGUGGUGCAUGGUUGUCGUCAGCUCGUGUCGUGAGAUGUUAGGUUAAGUCCUGCAACGAGCGCAACCCUCGUGUUGUGUUGCUACAUUAAGUUGAGCACUCUCAACAGACUGCCCGUGGUAAACGGGAGGAAGGUGGGGAUGACGUCAAAUCAUCAUGCCCUUUAUGUUCUGGGCUACACACAUGAUACAAUGACAAGUACAAAGGGAUGCCAAACCGCAAGGUGGAGCAAAUCUCAUAAAACUUGCCUCAGUUCAGAUCGCAGGCUGCAACUCGCCUGCGUGAAGAUGGAA
rnacentral:rRNA from 1 species